UACGUAGGGGGCCAGCGUUAUUCGGAAUCACUGGGCGUAAAGGGUGCGUAGAUGGUGUGUUAAGUUUGUUGUUAAAGGCUUCGGCCUAACUGAAGUAUUGCAAUGAAAACUGGCGCGCUAGAGGGUGAGAGAGAGAAGUGGAAUUCCCGGAGUAGCGGUAAAAUGCGUGGAUCUCGGGAGGAACACCAAUGGCGAAGGCAGCUUCUUGGCUCAUUCCUGACAUUGAGGCACGAAAGCGUGGGGAGCAAACAGG
rnacentral:rRNA from 1 species